rnacentral:lncRNA from 1 species
GUCCGCUUCACUCACAUCGUUUGUGUUUCUGGUGUUGCUCCAUAAAACAUAAAACAAGCCUUCUGGGAGGCCGAGGCUUACAGGGAGCAUGCUUUCAAAUCUCAACUCCGGCCAUUCACAGCAAGCUAAAUUUAAUCUGGUCCAAGUGAAGGGAACGUGGAUCAGACAACCUGAGCAGAGCCAGCUGGCAGAAGGAAAGUUAUCAGAUGCUGAAAUCAGUCAGAACAAGUCAGAAAAUGGACUUUUGUGGACGGUGGUCAGCCCCAUCAUAUUCAGCUACAGAGUCAUCCAGUGCAGAAACAUAUUGGAUCCAGGAAAUGAUACGCUGCUCUGGGGUCAUUUAGGAGAUGAGGAGCUAAAAGGUACUUUAAGUAACUCUAAACCUCUGAGACGAUUUGUUGUCAUCGAUGAAACUGUCAAUCAUCUGUAUGGCUCUCAGGUUGCUCAGUAUUUUAAGGCCAGAAAAACUGUGUGCAAGAUCCUCCCUCUUCCCACCACAGAGGAGAACAAAGGUUUGGAGUUAGUGACCAGGAUCCUGGAGCAGGUCCAUGAGUUUGGUAUUGACAGGCGCUCUGAGCCAAUCAUAGCCAUCGGCGGUGGGGUUUGUCUGGAUGUGGUGGGUUUGGCGGCCUCUCUCUACCGCCGGAGGACGCCGUACAUCCGGGUGCCCACCACUUUGCUCUCUUAUGUGGAUGCCAGCGUGGGGGCAAAAACUGGGGUCAACUUUGCUGGCGGGAAAAACAAGCUGGGGAGUUACGUCCCACCGGUGGCGACUUUCUUAGAUCGCUCGUUCUUCCAAACCCUUCCACCACGUCAGAUCUCCA